CGGGACGGGUGAGUAAUGUCUGGGAAACUGCCUGAUGGAGGGGGGUAACUACUGGAAACGGUAGCUAAUACCGCAUAACGUCGCAAGACCAAAGAGGGGGCCUUCGGGCCUCUUGCCAUCGGAUGUGCCCAGAUGGGAUUAGCUAGUAGGUGGGGUAACGGCUCACCUAGGCGACGAUCCCUAGCUGGUCUGAGAGGAUGACCAGCCACACUGGAACUGAGACACGGUCCAG
rnacentral:rRNA from 1 species